UACGUAGGGGCGAGCGUUGUCCGGAGUUACUGGGCGUAAAGCGCACGCAGGCGGUCUGCUAAGUUUGGAGUGACAGUUGGUGGCUUAACUGCCAAAGUGCUUCGAAAACUGACAGACUUGAGGGCUUCAGAGGGACACGGAAUUCCGGGUGGAGUGGUGAAAUGCGUAGAGAUCCGGAGGAACACCAAAGGCGAAGGCAGUGUCCUGGGCCGAUACUGACGUGAGGAGC
rnacentral:rRNA from 1 species